ACACCGAUGGUGAAGUGGUUAUCAUGCUUGCCUUCCAUAAUUCAACGGUAGCAAGCGGCACGGGUUCGAUUCCCGUUCGGUGUA